GACAGUCCCCAUCUGCCAACCUCUGGUUCCACCCUCUCCUGUCUCCCCCCACCUCCCCAGGUCGUGUUCACUACACCAAACACUGGAAGCUCACCGUGCCUGCAAGGACGUUGAAGGGGGAGCCGUGAAGACAUGAAUGGGGCCGAGUGGCUGCUGGUGCUGCUGCUGCUGCAUCCACCUCCUGCAGACUGCAGACUUUCUUUGCCGCAACCAUCCAACGUUUCCAUCACUUCCUACAACAUGGAGCACACUCUGAGCUUCAAGCCAGACCCCCGGACCCCCCCAGACACCCAUUUCACAGUCCAGAUCCUCAGCUCCAGGAGGAAACCAUGGAAACCUGUGCCCACUUGUUCAUGGCUGGUGGCUGGACAGACGUGUAACUUAAACACAGCCUUCAAGGACCCGUCGGACCACUACAGAGCCCGGGUCCAGGCCAAGGCCGUCAACCACACAUCCAGAUGGACCGUGUCAGACCAGUUCCAGCCUCUGACAGAUACCGUACUGGGUCCUCCCAAUGUGUCCGUGUCCGGUUGUGGAAACUGUUUGGUCCUGCAGGUCAGAGUUCCCACAGCUGGGACACUCAAACAUGACCCCCACCUGAAGGACAUGUACUGGCAGCUCAUCCUCCAUGUACACAGAACCAGGGACGAUGCACGUUUCAGGCUGCAGCUGCCCUACAAAGAGGAGAGCAGGAUCACCUACCUGCAGCCAGGGGUGGAGUACUGCGUGACUGUUUCUGUCACAUCAUUCUUCACCCACAAAUCUGUCUCCAGUAAACCUCAGUGUGCCUUCACCAGCUCUCCUGCGGCCCAAAGCUCAGACAUUUUGUCUUUCAUCCAGAAGGUUUCCUCAGCUCAGGCUAAACCGUGGACAGUUUGGAGUGUAGACUGGCACCCCUGUCAUUCCUGUGGGUCACCUGAGGCGUUGGUACUCUGUGGGAGUUGUUGGAUUAUCCAACCCCAUGUAUAACACAGAGAGAGACCCACACCUCCAUCUCACCAGCCGCCUCUGCCAGUUUUUCUGAGAUAAUACCAAGACAUUCGUAGCACAGCUGAGAAACAUGACCUCGCCGGUGUGUUCCGGAUCUCCCUCGAGGCUUUUUCCCAGUUGAACUCUCCUGAAACUCUUCACCAGGGAGGUUUAACAAGUUGAACCACAUCAACAGGCUCUUCUUGAUGUGGACGAUCAAGGACUCUAUUCCAAGACCCUCUCAGAUGACUGAACCUCUCUCUUUAACUCAGGAAACUAAUCUCAACCACUUGCAUCAAUGGUUUAAUCCUAUCUGACACUUCCAUAUUCGGUGACCAUAGGUGGGGGAAGGAGCAAAUGUGGGUAAAAAAAGGGUAAAUGUGUAAUUUCUUUGGUAGAAGGGACAAAUAUACUGUCACACCGUGGUGAGGUUGUCUUUUCUUGGGUUUGUUUUGUCCUGUCAUUUCCUGUUUUAUUUUGGUAAGUAAUUGUCCUCUCGUUUCAGGUCCCUUGCCCUUCCUCAUGUGUCUCACUCUGAUUGCCCUAAGUGUUUCCCCCUGUCCUCUAUUUCCCUCCAUGUGUUUAAGGGCCAGUCCCAAUCCUCCCCUAGUCCUACUUUUCAGCCCUACCCCUAAAUUUUGCGCGUUCCCGUGAGGGUAGUGGUGUCCCAAUUCCUCUUUGCAUGUAGGGCUAGUGGACAUAACGAGGGCUAGUGUGUAUGAAUCUAGCCCUUCACAGCGAGGGAUUUCAGGUAAUGACUCACCGACCGAGGGCUAGAGAAAAUUUCCCAGAAUGCUUUACGUCAUCAUUUGCAGAAUGAAUCAAACAAAAAAACAUGGUGGACAUUUCAAAUUUUUAGUGAAUAAAAUCAAUAUUUUGAGUUAGUUUCUGCAUAAAAAUGAGUUUUGAUUACAUUUCUAGCGAGAAGAGAUUUUACUUUUAAAUCACUCGCUUGCUCGUUGUUGCGUUGUAUCUUCAGACCUCGCCAGAAUAAAGGCUGAUUUAUGGUUCCGCGUUACACCAACGCAGAGCCAACGUAGGUUACGCGGCGACGCGAACCUAUGUCGUAGGCUCUGCGUCAAUUUAACGCGGAACCAUAAAUCGCCAGCGGCUCUUCUCAUACCCGAAAACAUCGGAUCAAAUUUCUUAACAGGCGGUUACUUUUAUGCCUGAAAAAAUAUUAAAACUUAAUAAAGUGGCAUAUUAACAGCGCUACAGCUGAAAUUAAAACAGCUUUUAUCUCUGGGCUUCCUGAUAUGGUGUGACGUAUGUGCAAACGUAACUACGCAGUCGCUUACGUACCCGAACGUAAACCACGCAGUGACGGAGCAAGUGGUGUCCCAAUCCCUAGGGAACAUUACAAGGACCCUAAAGUUUGUGGCUUCAUUUUUAGGGCUAGUGGUAGAAAGUAGGGUGACAUUGGGAUUGGCCCUUAAUAGCCUGUGUUCCCCUUGUCUUGUGCCAGAGUGUCUUCGUCCUUGUCCUGCAACAAGAGCCUUGGUCCACGUCCACAGCCAUAGUAAUUGCCAUAUGUGCGUGGUCCUCGGCUUGCUCUGCGCCUUCAGCCUGCUGGCACUCCUGCUCCUGGUGGUGGCUCUCUAUGGGAGUCAGCUGAGCAUCACGUUACUGGGACGACACCUGCCCAGG